UAAGCAUAUCAAUAAGCGGAGGAAAAGAAACCAACAGGGAUUGCCCUAGUAACGGCGAGUGAAGCGGCAACAGCUCAAAUUUGAAAUCUGGCCCCCGGGUCCGAGUUGUAAUUUGUAGAGGAUGCUUUUGGUGCGGUACCUUCCGAGUUCCCUGGAACGGGACGCCAUAGAGGGUGAGAGCCCCGUCUGGUUGGACGCCAAUCCUUUGUAAAGCUCCUUCGACGAGUCGAGUAGUUUGGGAAUGCUGCUCUAAAUGGGAGGUAUAUGUCUUCUAAAGCUAAAUAUUGGCCAGAGACCGAUAGCGCACAAGUAGAGUGAUCGAAAGAUGAAAAGCACUUUGAAAAGAGAGUUAAAAAGUACGUGAAAUUGUUGAAAGGGAAGCGCUCAUGACCAGACUUGGGCCCGGUUGAUCAUCCAGGGUUCUCCCUGGUGCACUCUUCCGGCCCAGGCCAGCAUCAGUUCGCUGUGGGGGAUAAAGGCUUCGGGAAUGUGGCUCCUCCGGGAGUGUUAUAGCCCGCUGCGUAAUACCCUGUGGCGGACUGAGGUUCGCGCAUCUGCAAGGAUGCUGGCGUAAUGGUCAUCAGCGACCCGUCUUGAAACACGGACCAAGGAGUCGUCUUCGUAUGCGAGUGUUCGGGUGUUAAACCCCUACGCGGAAUGAAAGUGAACGCAGGUGAGAGCUUCGGCGCAUCAUCGACCGAUCCUGAUGUUCUCGGAUGGAUUUGAGUAAGAGCAUACGGGGCCGGACCCGAAAGAAGGUGAACUAUGCCUGUAUAGGGUGAAGCCAGAGGAAACUCUGGUGGAGGCUCGCAGCGGUUCUGACGUGCAAAUCGAUCGUCAAAUAUGGGCAUGGGGGCGAAAGACUAAUCG
rnacentral:rRNA from 1 species